rnacentral:rRNA from 1 species
UCCAGACUCCUACGGGAGGCAGCAGUGGGGGAUAUUGCACAAUGGGCGAAAGCCUGAUGCAGCGACGCCGCGUGAGGGAAGACGGUCUUCGGAUUGUAAACCUCUGUCUUUGGGGAAGAAAUCAGACGGUACCCAAAGAGGAAGCUCCGGCUAACUACGUGCCAGCAGCCGCGGUAAUACGUAGGGAGCAAGCGUUAUCCGGAUUUAUUGGGUGUAAAGGGUGCGUAGACGGGAAAUUAAGUUAGUUGUGAAAUCCCUCGGCUCAACUGAGGAACUGCAACUAAAACUGAUUUUCUUGAGUGCAGGAGAGGUAAGUGGAAUUCCUAGUGUAGCGGUGAAAUGCGUAGAUAUUAGGAGGAACACCAGUGGCGAAGGCGACUUACUGGACUGUAACUGACGUUGAGGCACGAAAGUGUGGGGAGCAAACAGGAUUAGAUACCCCUGUAUC